GUGUUUCUAGGCUGAUGGAUUCUGGAAGGGAAACCCUCUGGAUCUAGGGGACAGCAGGUGCCAUCCUGGGAACUUUUCCUGGAGUUGGGGACCUGGGAGAGGCAGAAGGUGGCUUUUGCAUUCCAGAGCAGCAAACUCUCCAUGUCUGCAGGCUGGAAAUCUGACCCUGAGCUAUGGAAAUGCGCGGACUCAGAAAGCAUGCUGUGCCAAGGGGCUCUAAAAGGGGCAAACGCUGGAAAAAUUGUACUUUUCUCCCCAUGACAGCUGCCUUUUGUUUGGCAAAUAAUUUGAGGAGAGAACAAAAAAGCAGUUGUUUGCUUAGUGCCAAGCCACAAAAACAUGGAGCCUUUCUGGCCCCACUAGAAGAAAACUGUAUUUCAAGCAUUCUUGAGGAUUUGCCUGCAGACCGAAGGCACCCAGAGAGUGCCCUCUGCCCCAGAGCCCCUUCUGAGCAGGGGCCCCUCCCUCACUCAUAACUCCAUAGGGCAGGGCUUAGGAAGGCCAGAGAAACCAGCGCCAGGCUGGGCCAAGCCUAAUGGUGGCUGCCGUGGGGUGGGUGGGCUGCAAGCAGAUCGUUAAUGCAUGCGGAUGCCCUGCCGGCCACUUGCCAGUUUUCUUGGCCAGAAGAAUCUGUAAAAAGAGUACAAAACCUUGUGUUCAGAAGUUUUGGAGUUUAUAACGUAUACAGGCUCAUACACACAUGCCCAGAAAUACACAAACUGCUGUGAUACAUAUAUUUGGUGCCAAAACAAAUAGGACCUUGGCCAAAAAUCCUGUAUGUUAGCAACCGGCCAAUGUAGCAUUUAAAGUUAAAGGCCAACAGAAAACCCCAAACAGUGGUGUUUUUUUCCUAAUCUCAGAGUCACCACUCAGUAUUGUUUUUCCGUUGCAGGAUGGUUUUCUAAUGUCUUCACUUGGGAAAGAGCCUGUCUGCAGAAGGGCCUGUGUCGGGUUUGCUGUUAGGUCCCUUAUUUUGAGAGGAGAAAAUGGCUGUAUCGUUUGUGGCCGGCAUGUGUUGUGUCUGGUUCCCGUGGUUUGUUUUCGUGCUUUGAAAACGAAACUGUUCAUGGCUGUGAGAUGGAAAGCAGACCACGUUUUGUCAGUGAGGCCAUUCGUCAUGUUCCCCAGAGGGGCUGUGAACUCACAGCCUUGUGCUCUGCCAGCACGCAGACCACCCAUGUGGAGUUUGGGAGGCCAGCAGGCAGCGAGGGCCAGCCGGACUCUGCCGCCCAGCUGUCCUGAGGUCUCACCGGGCCCCCGCACCCAGCACGGGUCUGCUGUGCCAGGG
rnacentral:lncRNA from 1 species